rnacentral:lncRNA from 1 species
UUUUUUUUUUUUUUUUUUUUUUUUUUGUCUCAAAGUAAUGCUUAUAUCCAGUAAUGAGAGAAAAUGCAAAGUGAUAGAAAUAGGUGUUGGAGGUGAUCACACAAGUUUGCAGCCAUGUACAAGCAGGACAGAGGUGAAAUGUAGUUAACCUGCCCUGUUUGCCUUUCUGUGUUAUCUCUCCUUAAGCUGCUCCCUUGAGAUCUAAGUUGUCUGUGUAAAAGGUGGGAUAAAAUCUGAUUGUGUGAAGAAAUAAUUUUUAUUGACUGGAAGUGAAUGAUAUCAAGUAAGCCAUCCAAAGCUGGAGCCCAUUUGGAAAAUGCUGAGCUUAAUAUUUCUGUUCUGCUUUCAGUGGUUUCAAUGGCAACUGCCAGAGGCAAACUCAAGUGAGAAAUGUGCAUACUACCCACAUGUAUGUCCUCCCUAAUUUAUAAAUAUACCUGUGAGUAUACUGAUAACAGAAAACAGAUUAGUGAGAGUUGGUUUCAGGCUUGGAGAUUGAGUUUCAUGAGAAAUGCAGAUUGAAGGGAGGAAAUCUCAGGGUCGGAAGCUGGUUGUAUCAUGUGGAAGGCAAGAAACCACAAACUCGGUAGUAGAGAAGCAUUGCAGAAACAAGAAUAGAGAUGUUAAUUUAGCAACUGAAAUCAGACAUGCCAGAGAAUUUUAAAUUGUGUUUUAUUUUUAUAGAAACAAAUAGUCCACCCUGGAGCAACAGGGCCUCUGAACCCCGAAUAAUUCUAUUUUUUUCUAACUGGUUGCACUGGUGACAGCACUAUAUGUGGUGAUAGGUCCCAAAACUCCUUUGAGUUUUCCAUUUGGAAUGAAGGAGAGAAGUGGGAGGCAGCUUUACCUAAGUGCACACAGUAUGCAAUCUAUGAAUGAAUACAGAAUGAGAGCUAGAUGGGACAUUGUUCCUAGAAUAAGACCAAUACAUCCAUGCUUCAGUACUCUAAAGAGAUAAUCUUUCUCAAACUACAUGUAACAGGGGCUUGUGCUUAGAGCACAUAUCCCAAAAUCACAAAUUCCCUUGACUGUGGCUGAACUGCCUUUGUCCUGGUCUAGACAGAGCCAGACUGGGCCCAAUGCUAAGGAUUUUCAUCUGACUCUCAAAGUGCUUUCCCUCUGGUUCAGUUUUCCUUCUUGAGUUAACAUGGUCUGAAAAAAAACAGAAACAAAGACCUUGAGAAUUGUUAUUUCCAUCUUCUUUUCAACAUUUUCUUUCUGCUAGGAAGCAGGAAAAGCAUGAGGAUGACACACUUCAGUUCACACUCUCACUCCAGCUGCAAGAGCUGUAGAAGCUGGGGGCUUUGACAAGGCAGAUGUGGGGAGGCUGGACUGGGACUUGUUCCAUUGCAACUUCCCACUACAGCUGUGGGGAAAAUCCUGACUGGGGAGCCUUCAACACUGAAUAUGUGCAAGUCAGAAGGAUGUGGACAAACCUCCAGCUCACUGGCUGGAAGAAGGAAAAAUAGUUCUAGAAAUCCUAUCAACUUCCACCAGAGACCUUUGCUUCCUGGUGUAGACAGUGCAAGUUAAAAGUACAAUUGAGGGUCUGGGUUCUUUAUCUAAAGUACAAUUUUGACUGGGAAUUACUAAAAGGCAGUAAAAAUGGAAGCAUUUUAUGAUUUUUUCAGAGUCCCUUCUUGAUGAUUGUCAUUUGAGGGAUGAGAAUGUCGAAUUUGCCACGUUGCACAAAGUUAUGGCAGCUGUUCCAUAUUGCUAGAUUGGAAACUAAAAUGGAGAUCUAUUCAAAUUGUCUGACACUACCAGCAAGCUUGAAAGCAAUGCUUUAAACCAUAACAGAACUCUAAUCUGGUCCUGAGGGGUAAUCAGUAACAUUAAAAGCAAAUGUCUUUUUCCAAAUGGCCUUUAACUACUUUGUGUCUUUUCCCUUUUUUUGCUAAAUUCUGCUUUUCAUUGUAACCAUUUGAUGAAGUGAACAGAAUUUCUGAGAAUGUCAAAGACCAAAUCCUAAGUGAGAACAUUUCAGCAGGUCUAGUCUGUUAUGAUAAUAAAUAUUUUCAGGAAUGUUUAAGCUAUGCUAACCUUUAAAAAAGAAUGGAUCACAUUUCUAUUUUCUUUCUUCAUAAAUGUCCGGUGCCUGAAACUUCUUAACAGUUUCUUCAUCUAAAGAUAAGACUGGGUUUAUCUCUACCUGUAAAAGGUAAUGCAAUCUCUUAGUUUAGGAAUUUCUAGAACCUUUGCCUGUCAACACACAAUCAAAUCUAGUUUUUGAUCCUAGUGCUGCUGUUUUGGCAACACUAAUUAUAUAUAGACUAGAAAAACUCAUAAGAUAGGAAAUUGUUCUUUGAAUCACAUCUAAUUCUAGACCUGUGCUACAGAACUCAGAAUUAUCCAGUUUGAUUUGUUGUCACCAUGAAAUGUUGGUUAAAAGCAUUCAUGUUUUUAUCCAGUAAUUCUUAAUCCACAGAAAGAAUGCACUGUUGACAUCUCUGCAAUUUUUUGUUAUCCUGAAUAUGCCAGUUCAUCUCACUCAUACUGAGCAUUAAUCACUAAAUGUAGCAUUUUGUUGUGUUCAGGAAAUAUUUGAGGAGGCUUUAUAAAGGUAACCAUUAAAAAAGAACAAACAAGACCAA